UAGCUCAGUCGGUAAAGAACCUGCCUGAAAUGCAGGAGACCCAGGUUUGAUUCCUGG
rnacentral:tRNA from 1 species